rnacentral:ncRNA from 1 species
GUAAGCCGUGUGCGGGAAAUCCGCACGCACGGUUUGAAAGGGGGUCUUGCCCUUCAUCGCCCAGUUUCACGGCCGGGCAGGAGAAAGUAGGAUCUACCAAUGCGUGCUCGCGCAGAGUGGGUGCCAGUGCAUCUCUGGCGACCCGCC